AUCUAAGAAGCACAGUUGGGGCUGGAAAUAAAUAGUGACAAAGAACUGGCCUCAGGAGCCGCCUAUAGGAGAAGGGCCAUCCCCCUUCCAUCAGCGCGGGAAGCUCUAAGAAUCUCUUUCCAUUAAGAGAAGCAGGGUGGCCCAGGAAUAAGACUGGCAGGGAGGCCGCAGUGCAUGCUUAUUUCUUUAACAUGUAUUGAACACCUACUGUGUAUUAGACAUUGUACCUGGGGAUCCUGAGUUGAGUAAAAUGCGGUUCCUGCUCUCCAGAGCCUGGAAGUCCAGUGGAAAAGAAAGAUGCGCAAAAGCAAUAUGAAUUCAUGAAUUUAUUGUGAUAAGAGUGAAUAAUUGAAGGCCCGAGCAGCAACCCACCGACUGCACACCUGAGCCCCUCCCUCAGUGACUCCCCAGCCCUGGCUCAGGCUGCAAACCAACAGAGGACGGAGGACGCAAAAUCACCCAGCUGCCCACAGAGCAACAUUCCAAGCUCCAGAGCUCUUUUCCGCCCAUUUUUUGCCAACUGUUUAGAACAAAGAGAAAUAAUCAGAUUGGGAGAAAGUCAAAAAGGACAGUUUCCUGAAACUUCUCCCUCACCUGUCAGAGCCUGGGAAAAGCUGUUAGAUGCUUCUUCGGAGGGUUUCUAAAGGCCACUAUUGACUUCUAGUGAAGGAGAGGCAGUGAGGGAGGCUAGGUGUCUUUCACCAUGGUUUUGGACCCGGCUUGAAGUCACUGAACAAGUGAGGCAAAGACAGUCCAUCAUUUCUAGUGUCUGGAGCUUACCGAACAAACAUGGGUUGAGCCCCUCUUGCCAGAGGCCAGGGUGAGAUAUUGGGUCCAGAGCUGCAGCCUGCUAAGGACACACAGGAGUCAGAUAAUAACCGGACAGUGCCUGCGUGGGGUCUGAACACAGGCCCUGUGGAGGGAGCAAGGCCCCUCGGCUGCAGGGCACUGGAGGAAAGCUUCAUGGGGAAGUGGGCUGGGCCUUGUAGGCUAAGAACUUUUCUGGGUCAAGUAGAGGGGUUUUAGGAAACCAGAAUUUCUUGGAAACUUAAACACUGACUUCAGAUAGUCAAGUCUGGUGGCCGUAUGUAAACCUCAUACUCCCAGAUACACUCUGUAUCCUGACUUCUGCCCCCUCUCCAGCCAUAUUUUAUUCUGGGCUUAUGCUGCUGCCAAGAGAGGCGUCUGCACUCUUGGGAGAGGAAGGAGCCAAGGGUUUUUUCUCUGUCCCCUGGGUUCCUGGGGUUCAGGCACUAGGCCUGGUUUCUGACCUUAUUCCUCCUCUCCCACAAAGCACAGCCUGACAGCCUGGCCCUUCUCUGCCUUGGCCAAGAGGGAGGCUGCCAGAACCACAGCUCACCACAGAGGCCAGGCUGGACGUACCUCUGUGGAGCAGCAGCAGGACCAGUCUCCCCAGUGGCUGAGCGCAGCCAAUUCCCCACUGUAACUUCCCUACCGGCGAGCAGAUGGUGUUGGGUUUCUCUGAGACCCCAUGUGGGUAGGAGAGUCUGGUGUGACUCUGCCUAAACUGGCUGUGUGACCUUGGGCAAGUCACUGUACCUGUCUGGACCUUGACCUCCUAUCUGUUCAAUUAUAAUCCAUAUCCUAGGGUCUGUCUUAGGCGACGUAGCCAAACAUGCUUUGCAAGCUGUCAAGCACAGCACUGGUCUGAGAGGUUGUUACUUUGACUUUGCCUUGGGUCCCACAGUUUGAACAGGGAGGCUGUCUCAGAAUUUAUUUUUCAGGCAUCGGUUUCCAGAUGGGGAUUCCUAACCUAGGGUCCAGAAGGGUCUACAGGAAGUCCUGGAGUCAUUUGCAGAACUUUUGAGCAGGUGCAUUUUUCUGAGAAGAAAAUGGAGUUUUUCAUCAGAUCCUCAAGGUACUUCAUGCGUGAAAACCUGCUAAGAGACACUGCCUGAGCCUUGGGGCUCCUCCCAUGUGCAGUCAUCUGCCAGGGUAUUCCGAAUCCUCGGAGCAGCAGUCACACAGGCUGGGGUGACCCAUGUCUACCAAUUCGACAUGGAUGUUCAACAGCACCACGCCAAGGACAUGCUCCCUGGCCCCAAGUUCCCUGCAGGCCAGCGACACAAGAGCUCAUGACAUCUGCAUCGUGCCAGAGUCUAGGACAUGAUAUUUCGGUACCACUCUCCAUGCUGGCCUGGCACUGGCCGGAACACCGUGCCCUGUUCUAGACAGCACGUUACCAGAACGUGGAUAAACUGAAAUGUUUCCAGACAUAGGCCAGCUGUCAAAAGUUUUUGAAACCAGUCUCAGGAGGAACGAUUGGAAAAACAGAGAGUCUUCGGGUUGGAGCAAAGAAUUAUAGAGCAGACGCGGACUGGGAGUGGACAUUAAAUUCUUGAAGUGCUGCCUAGUGCCUUCUGCAGGGAGGCAGAUAGUGACUCAGCGAAGGGAAAUACUUCCUGGCAGUGAGCUCUGUCCCGCAUGGAGCGAAUGGACUGAGGCUCCCCAGUACCCCACAUAGUUGGUCUUUUGAGGCAGGGUAUAAGCUUUAUCCUGGAAGGAGAUGAAGAAGUGAUAACGACAACUCCUCCCUUGAGACUCAAGUAGAGAAAGAGAUAUGGGAUAAACUAAUUCAUACUAAGAUGUGAAUGGCUCAAGGUUUACCCAAUCUGCACUUGUACAUGAAGAAGCAAUGUUAACCGAACUGCGGGUGUCAGGCUUCCACGAUGGACACUGGCGUUGUCAACAAGCCUGGGUUUGUCCUGGGCUUGCCAUUCACCAGCUUUGUCCAAAAGUAAGUUCCCCUCAUCUUUCUGAGACUCUGUUUGCUCACCAUAGUGAAGGGUCAAAUGAUACCUUUCUAGCCACCCUGUAGGGUUGGGGUGAAGAUUAAAUGAACUAGUGCACACAAAAAGCAUUCGUUAGCUGAAAGGUCCUGGAAAGAGAAAGGGACUGAUAUUGUCAUGACUUCGGCCCAGAGCGAGGCCUUCCCACACCCUCGGAUCAUCCCUGAGCAGAAGAUGGCUUUGUGCGGAAGCCUCCUCCUUUUUAACCUUCCAGCUGCCAAGCAGAAAAGACAACCCGGGUGUCUCUUUCAUCUCUAGCCUCGCCCCUGGGGGAAGGUGAGAGGGCGAGCAACCUCCUGGCUCACUCACCUCAGACGCUUGGGCUCCGCCCCCCAGCCGGGGCGUGCAGCAGCGGGGCCCCUGCUGUGGUUAGAACACGGGUCCCAGGCCGGUCCUCUGUCGGCAGCGCUGCUCACAGGCCUCACCACAACGCUGGGAGCUGCAUGCAGAGACAUCUUCUCGGACCUUUCCAGAGACUCGCUAGCCUUGUCAGUCUCUCCAUCUUAAUUCUCCAUUCGUGUGUGUGUGUGUGUGGGGGGGGAGAGAGAGAGAGAGAGAGAGAGAGAGAGAGAGAGAGAGAGACUGAGGUCCCGAGGGAAUACACGGCCUGUUCAGUGUCUCGCAGCACGUGGAGCGUUAGCCAACGCUUUUCCUUUCGCUUUUCUCCCAAAGUUCCCCUCACCUUCCCUUUUGCUCCAAGCACAAACGACCCCUCUGAAGCGCCCAAGGUCCAGAAGUCUUGGGGCAGAGGUCUCCUUCCCUCUCUGAAAGAUGUCUUCAUUCCAGCUUCUCAUUGAAGUAGACUCGGAAGCCCCUUCCCCUAGAUGACCACAUGUUCUCUCAGUCUCACCUUAGCUGAUGCCUUGGACGCCAUCCGCAAACCCAGACCUGACCAAAAUCAUUCCCGACAAAGGGACAUUCUCUGUCCUUGCCUCUGAGCCACCCUCAAGUGCCUCUGAGCUACGCCCCCUCCCCAGUGCGCUGAGCCACCCCCCAAAGCUCCUCAUCGGAAUAAAGUUCUCCCUCCCCGACUUCCCACCUCAGCCUAUCGCAGUGUGUAUCUCUGCUUGCAUCUGUAUGAGGUGCGCGUGCGCGUGCGCGUGCGCGUUCACCCACUGCCCUGCAAGCUCCCUGAGGACCACGGACCGUGUCUUGCUUUUCUCUGUGUCCCCAGUGCCUGGCACAGAGCAAGUGCUCCAAACCAUGUUUCUAGCAUUUAUUUGAACCUAAGGCUGGGUCGUUUGGAGGUAGUACCCCUGGACUCCAGGCUGCCAACUCCGAUGAGAACACUAAAAUCAGGAGAGGAGGGAACAGAAAGGAAGGAACGGGACCCAUCCUCAGCCCCUUCUUCCUCAGCAGCCACGUUGCCAUCUCAGGGCUUCCCAUCCUUGGCCUGGCCUGGCCCCACCUGGCCGAGAAGACGAGGGGGAGAAGAGCAACCAGAGACACAUAACAGUGUGGACUGCGGUUGGCAUGACAUUAAGAGCCGGUGCGAGGAAGGCAUCUGACCUUGGGGAGGAAUGUGGGAAAUGUCUGCAGCCUGGAGCAGCCACCCCCCACCUGGGGCCCAGGAAUCUGGGCUCCUGGCCCAGAUGCCUGGGCCAAGUGAGGUGUGUACAUGUGGCUGAAAGAGAACAGGGGUAGUGCGGAUCCCUAGAACAACACUGUUGGAAGGACCCUUAAGGUCACCUGGUGAAACUCCGCCAUGGUUACAGAAGGUAAAGAUGACUGUCAAUGUCGCCCUCCUCAAGGUACCAGCAUAGCACCUUCUCUGAUCUCACUAGGGCCUGGUCCCAGACUCCCGGAGUACCCUCAAGCCCAAGUUCAUGGAGACAGCUAAAUUUUGACUUCUCAGACCUAUAAACCACAGAACGUCAGAGCCCUUUGAAAUUACCAGCUACUACAUCCAUCCCAUAUUAGAUGUGGAAAUAGAGGCCCAGAGAGAAGCUGGCAGUUGGUCAUAGGUACACUCAUUAUGGGCCAAGACUCUGGGUGUGUCCUUUACCCACGCCCUCCUGCUUCCAUGAUGCUGGAGGCCAGCAUCUCCUUCUCCCAGUAAGGAGACUCGAGUGACCCUCCCCACCCCCAAUCUCCCACAGGGCUGCUGCUGGGAGUCCAAUGACUUCUGUGGGUGCCCUUAACUGCUAGGGGUGAGAGAAGCAGCCAUGCAGCUACAGAGCAGACCCUGAAGGCCUUGCCUCUAUGCUCAAGGCCACACGCCAGCUCCUGGUGAACAGGUGAUCUGUGCUCUGGCUGGACGGCAUCGAUAAGGCCAAGCUAACGCCAACAGAGGCCCGAGGAGCGCCCCGGAGAAAGCGUUGAGUAAGGAUUCUGCUGCCCUCUUGCGGCCAUACCUGGGUAUGACUGCUGUUGGCCAGGCCUCCAGCUGCUUAUCUUCUCCAAACUACGGAAAUCUCUCGCCUUCCUCUCCUGAGGGAAAGCGCUCUAGGAGGUCUGGAUGGGGUGGGGAGAUGACGCCUUGUUCAUUGUUGGUUCCUGGAGGAAGAAGGCCUCAGGCCAACAGUCUGUGUUAUCCAGAAUGUUUGAGUGUGGGGAAGAGACUCUGUGGGGAAGAGACUCGGUGGUUUCCAUAGAGACAGCCUAAUCAACCAACACUAGAGAUGACAGUUUGAAAAUUUAGAGGAUGUUUAUUUCUCGGGAAGGUCCACAACAGCUGGCAGCCACUGCCCUCCCCGUUCUAGGGCAUUUCUCUCUCUUUUUCCAAGAAAUCUCCUCUCUUAUUCGAAGUGCCCAUGGAGGAGGCUGGGAUGUGAAGAGAAACCAUACACGACACUCCAGAGCCUUAAAAAAAUUAAGCAACAAACAACCUCCACGCAAAUGCACACAUACAAA